rnacentral:lncRNA from 1 species
AUGAAGACAGCUUGUCUGUCGAAAACGUUGGACAUUUUUUGCGUCUGCGCUCCUAGAGUGGCUGUCCUUUAUUUUUUAGGUGUUCUAGCGUUUCUUCCACCUUUACAUAUCAUUAUGUACCUCCCCUCCCCUUCCUGCCCAGGCAAGUCUGUUUUACAUAUCAUGAUGUACCUCCCCUCCCCUUCCUGCCCAGACAAGUCUGUUUUACAUAUCAUUAUGUACCUACCCUCCCCUUCCUGGCCAGACAAGUCUGUUUUACAUAUCAUGAUGUACCUCCCCUCCCCUUCCUGCCCAGACAAGUCUGUUUUACAUAUCAUUAUGUACCUACCCUCCCCUUCCUGGCCAGACAAGUCUGUUUUACAUAUCUUGAUGUACCUACCCUCCCCAUCCUGCCCAGACAAGUCUGUUUUACAUAUCAUUACGUACCUACCCUCCCCUUCCUGCCCAGACAAGUCUGUUUUACAUAUCAUUACGUACCUACCCUCCCCUUCCUGCCCAGACAAGUCUGUUUUACAUAUCAUUAUGUACCUCCCCGUUCUGCCCAGACAAGUCUGUUUUACAUAUCAUUAUGUACCUCCCCUCCCCUUCCUGCCCAGACAAGUCUGUUUUACAUAUCAUGAUGUACCUCCCCUCCCCUUCCUGCCCAGACAAGUCUGUUUUACAUAUCAUUAUGUACCUCCCCUCCCCUUCCUGCCCAGACAAGUCUGUUUUACAUAUCAUUACGUACCUACCCUCCCCUUCCUCCUCAGACAAGUCUGUUUUACAUAUCAUUAUGUACCUCCCCUUCCAGCCCAGACAAGUCUGUUUUACAUAUCAUUACGUACCUACCCUCUCCUUCCUCCUCAGACAAGUCUGUUUUACAUAUCAUUAUGUACCUCCCCUUCCUGCCCAGACAAGUCUGUUUUACAUAUCAUGAUGUACCUACCCUCCCCUUCCUGCCCAGACAAGUCUGUUUUACAUAUCAUUAUGUACCUACCCUCCCCUUCCUGCCCAGACAAGUCUGUUUUACAUAUCAUUAUGUACCUACCCUCCCCUUCCUGCCCAGACAAGUCUGUUUUAAUGGAUCAUUACAUACCUACCCUCCCCUUCCUGCCCAGACAAGUCUGUUUUACAUAUCAUUACGUACCUGUCUUUGUGGAUUCCUUUCUUUCUUCCAGACUGUCCCGUAUGAAGUGA